UCCGAAGGGGGCUAUCGUUGUUCGGAAUUACUGGGCGUAAAGCGCACGUAGGCGGAUUUGUUAGUCAGGGGUGAAAUCCCGGGGCUCAACCUCGGAACUGCCUUUGAUACUGCAAGUCUCGAGUCCGGAAGAGGUGGGUGGAAUUCCUAGUGUAGAGGUGAAAUUCGUAGAUAUUAGGAAGAACACCAGUGGCGAAGGCGGCCCACUGGUCCGGUACUGACGCUGAGGUGCGAAAGCGUGGGGAGCAAACAGG
rnacentral:rRNA from 1 species